UCCUUUCAAAAAAAAACUCUCAGCCCCUCUGUCCUCUGGCCAUCGGUCAGUCAUCGACCCGCCUGCCACUGGUAACUGGCAUCGGCGCCGCCAUAUGCGGUGGCCGAAAAUCUCAUAUCCAACCCUUUCAAAACCUUUAAAGCCGAAUCUAGCCCCAAAAUUUCCAAAAUAUUGAUGGAGAGGGCCCAAAUCUCGAGAAACCUUUCGGUUUUCGGCCGUCAAUCCUCGGUGACAACUUCCUCG
rnacentral:lncRNA from 1 species